rnacentral:rRNA from 1 species
UUAACUUAAGUAUUAUGGCGGUAUUUUAGUCUAUUUAGAGGAACCUGUCCCGUAAUUGAUGGUCCACGUUUAAUGGUACUUGAGCUAUUAUAAGCUUGUAUAUCGUCGUUUAGAAUAUGUUAUAGGGCUUUUAUUAAUAUUUGAGGUUUAAGGUUUAAAUAAAGUCAGAUCAAGGUGUAGUUGAUGCUCAAGGGGAGGUGGGUUACAGAUAGUUCAAUUUACUAGUGGAGUGUAAUGCUGAAAAUAGAUAUGAAAUUGGAUUUGAUAGUAAUAUUUUUAAUAUAAAGUUUAUGAAAAUUAGCUCUAAAAUAUGUACAUAUCGCCCGUCGCUUUCAUAUUAAAAUGAAAUAAGUCGUAACAAAGUAGCCCUACCGGAAGGUGGGGCUAGAGUACAAACUAAAGCUUUUAUAGCUUUUUAUUUACAUUAAAAUGAGUGUUUUAGAUGAUGUAGUUUGAUUAUAUGGGUAUUAUUAAAUGAUAUGUUAUUGGUUUAUUAUUAAUUGAAGAAUUAAGAUUGAUUUAGUUGAUUAAGAAGUAUUUAUAUUUAUUAUAGGGUAUUAUGUACCGUUAGGGGCGUGGUUGUAUAUUUUGAAAUAAGAGUUAAUUUUUUGUACCUUGUGUAUCAGGGUUGACUAAAUGAUUACUAAUUAGUUAAAUGUCCCGAAUUUAAAAGAGUUAAUUAGCUAUAUAUUUUAUUGUAGAAUAAUUAUUUAAAAUAGUUAAUUGGUAGCGAAACGUUAUUCGUUUUUAAAUAUAUCUGGUUCCUUAAGAAAAAAUUUUAAAUUUUUGGUUAUGUGCGAGUUUAUAAUUACUUGGUUGAGUAUUAAAUUGCUGUUAAUUAGGUAAAACUAAUGGGAUUAGCUUUUAGUUUGAUAGGUAUAACUUUAUUAUAGUUGAUAGUUAAGUAGGAUUAGAAAUUUCUUUUUAUUAGAUUGUGUUAUAAUUUAAUUAUGAUUGAGAUUUAAUUUUCUUUGGGUUUAUCUUUUUUAUUGAGGUUUAGGUAAAAUUUAUGUUUAUUUGGAAAUAAUAGUUAAAUUAGUAUAAAUAUUAAAGUUGUAGUUAGUAGAGGUCUGUGGUUAGUUUAAUUUAAGGAACUCGACAAAGGGAAUUUUCACCUGUUUAUUAAAAACAUGUCUUUUAGAUUUUAUGAUUUAAAGUUUAACCUGCCCCCUGAGUAGUGUAGCUUAAAGGGCCGCGGUAUUUUGACCGUGCUAAGGUAGCAUAAUAAUUAGUUUUUUAAUUGUGAGCUGGAAUGAAUGGUUGGAUGAGGGAUUGCUUGUCUCUAGUUGAUGGUUUGAAUUUUAUUUUCGAAUUAAAAAGUUCGAAUAAGAGUAAAAGACGAGAAGACCCUAUAGAGUUUUAUAUUUAAUUUUUAUUUAUUUAUUAGGAUUUAA